UUUACAUUGAUUUAACUCUGCAACUCCCUCAACAAUGUUGUAUGUUUUUCUUCUUUUAUUGAAGAGUUCUUCGUCUGGAAAUACUGAUGACGAGCAUGCAUGUGUACCUAAAUUAAGAAGGACUAGAAGUAUUCUAGUAAAACACAUGCACAGAAAAGAAGAAAAGCUUGGGAAGUGAUUGAGAUCCAGGCCGUGGAAACACACCUGAAAAACUUUAUCAGUUCAUGCCGUGUCCCAGGGAAGCUACCUUGCGAACAGUGCAUAAGAGCUGAGCCUUCAGCGCUUAAAAACAGAGAUUGGCAGAGUGUCAAAUUCUAUGUUCACAAUCGCAUUGUGGCUUACAAGAAAGAUUUGAGCCACAAUGUGUAAUUUUUUUUUUGUUUAUUUCAUUUGAAAAACAUGUA
ensembl:lncRNA